rnacentral:rRNA from 1 species
GCACAAGCGGUGGAUGAUGUGGAUUAAUUCGAUGCAACGCGAAAAACCUUACCUACCCUUGACAUGGUCGGAAUCCCGCUGAGAGGUGGGAGUGCUCGAAAGAGAACCGGCGCACAGGUGCUGCAUGGCUGUCGCCAGCUCGUGUCGUGAGAUGUUGGGUUAAGUCCCGCAACGAGCGCAACCCUUGUCCUUAGUUGCUACGCAAGAGCACUCUAAGGAGACUGCCGGUGACAAACCGGAGGAAGGUGGGGAUGACGUCAAGUCCUCAUGGCCCUUAUGGGUAGGGCUUCACACGUCAUACAAUGGUCGGAACAGAGGGUUGCCAACCCGCGAGGGGGAGCUAAUCCCAGAAAACCGAUCGUAGUCCGGAUUGCACUCUGCAACUCGAGUGCAUGAAGCUGGAAUCGCUAGUAAUCGCGGAUCAGCAUGCCGCGGUGAAUACGUUCCCGGGUCUU